rnacentral:tRNA from 1 species
GCGCUGUUAGUAUAGGUUAGUAUGGUCGCCUUCCACGCGAUAGGGCGGGUUAGUCCUGGCAGCGUA